CGGAAGAAUAAGUCUGAUGUGAAAGCCCCCGGCUCAACCGGGGAGGGUCAUUGGAAACUGGGAGACUUGAGUGCAGAAGAGGAGAGUGGAAUUCCAUGUGUAGCGGUGAAAUGCGUAGAUAUAUGGAGGAACACCAGUGGCGAAGGCGGCUCUCUGGUCUGUAACUGACGCUGAGGUUCGAAAGCGUGGGUAGCA
rnacentral:rRNA from 1 species